CUGUUUGUCAACUUUGGGCUGCACUGAGUUUGUUUUCUUCCAAGUUCUUCCAGGCAGUCUCAUCUGUCAUUAUGCAUUUUCUAGUGAAACUUUUAUGUAAUUGUGUUAAAAUGCAAACCUUUCUACAAUUACGGCCAUGCUUUGAGAAUCUCACCUAAAUCUCUCUUUUCUCUAUUGAAUUUCUUACUUGUUUGUAGGUCCUUAUGGUUCAUGAAGACAUCUCCCAUGUAUAGCUUGAAUUGAUUCCCAUGAUUCAGGAAAUACUUACUCAAUGGAUUAUUCUCCACUUGGUGGGAACAACACCAUCUGAGUCACCACUUUUGGAGGAUUUUAGCUCCGCCUUUCGUCAUUGCGCAUUGUUGAAGCCAAAUAUGGAUACAUAAAAGGAUCCAAUGGCUGGAAUUAUGGAUUUGAUGAAGAACAUGUAUGAGGACGGAGAUGAUGACAUGAAGUGGACGAUUGCAAAAGCAUGGACAGAUGCAAGAUCUGGGAAAACAGCUAACCCAUUGCAGGGAUACCGGUGAAAUUCCCUUAGCCUGAUGAUCAAAUGGUAGAAAUAGGAGGUUUACCGGUAAUGCAUCUAGGAGUUUGAUUAUACUGAAUGAGUGGUACACUUGUGAAAGUUACUCUAAGGGUGUCCUCAGAUGUUGCUGCUGAAAUUUAGCUACCAGAUGAAUUGCUUUCAUUUAAGAAAAAACACCCAUUUGAGCGACUAACUCAGAUGUUGCUGCUGAAAUUUAGCUACCAGAUGAAUUACUUUCAUUUGAGAAAAAACUCCCAUUUGAGCAACUAACUCAUGAGUGGGCUUCAUUUAAUAAAAUAAAAUAAAAUAAAAAGCUAUUCACAAGGUAGUGCAUCUGCUGUAGUCCAAAAUCCAUGUUGGUUAAUUCUCUUCAACUAUCAAUUAUUUAUUUAUUGUACACAUUUGGCCUUGCUGAUGAUAGUACCAGCCUGAUUUGUAGGUAAUGACAGUGGUCCCCACCUGAUGAGUGGCAUGGAUCUUGUUUGGAUGUGUUACGUUUCCAUCUCUAAUUAGGGUAGCCUCUGCAUUGCUUGUCAACCAAAUAAUCCCGAUGCCCCUACUUAGGUGAGCCUUUGAUAUUGUGGACCCAUUAGUGUGGAACGGUCAGCUUUCCUCAGUGGGAGCAACUGGUCGCAGAAUCACUCGAACUUGUAUCUAUUAAAAUCAUAAAACGAAAUUCGAUAUGUUUAAGAGCCUGUUUGCACACAACUGGUGUUGAACUGCAGAUCAGUUGAAUAGGAUUAGAAUUAGCUCCAUCCAUUCGUUUCAAGUGGGGAGAUGAAAGAAAAUUGGUAGGAGAACUGCUGGAUUCUGCCAGCUUCCAGCUUCCAUCCCUGAAAGUAUUUGAGAUGUGUGCACCGUCUCAUAUUUGAAUCCCCUUUCCUGUGACAAAUCUGAAAAACUUGGAUUUUUUUAUUUUUUAUUUUAUUUCUAAUCCCAUAUUCUGUCAUUCCUAACACACCUUCGGAAUUUUAAAUUUGGAGAAAAUGAGGAGGUAUGGCCAGAAUUACCCCCUCAGUUCAUGGAGAUUGCCAGAGUGGAUUAAAGGUAAAAGAUGCCUUUUCUUUUGGUGUUAAACCAAAAAAUGGUAACACCUAUUUGAGAUUGGACUAUUGGCAGCAACAAAAGCCUGCUAAACAAUGUAAGAAAAACAAGGAAAGAAACUAACUCUUAAUAAAAACCCACUUAACUUCCACUAACGAGCUCAACAAUGUAUAUCCAUCCCAAGAAAAUACAAGCAGGACUACAUCUCCAACUCAUCUAUGAAAGGCUGAAAACCAAUCACCGCCGUUAAGGGCCUGCAGUUCUAUAGAUAGCAACUCAUUUAUUCCUGCAACAACCUGCUACAGCCUACAGCUAGGCAAAGGUGAAAUUCCCUCAGUCUUCUUUUUUUUUUUUUUUUUUUUUUUGAUGUAUUCUAUUUGUAUCACUUGUAUUCUUACAUAAUCGUUUGCGAUGUGUAUUUUCAGGCAGUGGAGUAAGAUAUGUGGGUCCACUAAAUUCGCUUAACAAUUGGAUGAAUGUAGUAAGGAGUAACUAUGAGUUGGUUCGAUCAUGUUGCUCCAUGGAUGGUGAUCUUUGACGCAACAUUUAGGUCUCAGGUGUGAUCCCAAUUUACCUACCCACAGAAAAAAGGGGGAAGAAACUACUAUUUGGUGGAAUAUACAAUAUAUUGGAGUUUUCUCCUAUUGCUUUAUUGGCAUGGAGGGAGGGGCUGGAGCUGGCUUGACUUCGUGAUAUUAAGAAAUAAUUUGAGUAUUAAAAGAUUAUGAGUCUUAAUGCUUUCUAAAUGUCCAACUAAGUCUUAAAAAUUGAUAUAACAGAAAAUAUUAAUCCAAACAUGAAAACAUGAUACAACAGUUUCAUGUUUUUAUGUUUUAUUUGGAGAAUUCAUCACUGUUACUAUGUGCAACAUUUUACUUUUCUGUUUGAGUUACAGUUCAUUUACA